rnacentral:rRNA from 1 species
GUGAGGAAUAUUGCGCAAUGGAGGCAACUCUGACGCAGCCAUGUCGCGUGCAGGAAGAAGGCGCUACGCGUUGUAAACUGCUUUUAACCGGGAAGAAACCCCAGGACGUGUCCUGGGUUGACGGUACCGGAGGAAUAAGCACCGGCUAACUUCGUGCCAGCAGCCGCGGUAAUACGAAGGGUGCAAGCGUUAUCCGGAUUCAUUGGGUUUAAAGGGUGCGUAGGCGGAGCGUUAAGUCAGUGGUGAAAUCCUGCAGCUUAACUGUAGACGUGCCAUUGAUACUGGCGCUCUUGAGUGCGCUUGAAGUGGGCGGAAUGUGCCGUGUAGCGGUGAAAUGCUUAGAUAUGGCACAGAACACCAAUUGCGAAGGCAGCUCACUAAGGCGAUACUGACGCUGAGGCACGAAAGCGUGGGGAUCGAACAGGAUUAGAUACCCCGGUAGUCC